AAAUAGUUGACGAUACAAAUACAGAUAUCGGAUAGAUGAUACCUAUUACGCGUUUGCGUAUUUUAAUCGGUCGGUCGCAGACUGACUUGCCGGUCCUAUAAAACGGAAGCCAGGUCGAGUAAUUUUCUGGCGUCACAUUUGCGUCUCAUUUUCAGUCUUGUGCGGUUGCAGGGGACGAGCACUGCUGCAAGUACGAGGGUUUCGACAAUGUAUCGUCAAAUAAACCAUACGGAAAUGAUUUACAAGUACUGUAGACGACGGUAUUAUUAAUAUCAUUUCCCUAUAGGAAUCGUCAACGUUUCCGGUAUAUCAAUCAAAG